rnacentral:tRNA from 1 species
CUAAUUAAAGUUUUAGAAACAUUAUUAUUUACAUUAAUACUAUUCUGUGCGAGUCAGAUAAUUAGA